AGUGAACGCUGGCGGUAGGCCUAACACAUGCAAGUCGAACGGCAGCACAGUAAGAGCUUGCUCUUACGGGUGGCGAGUGGCGGACGGGUGAGGAAUACAUCGGAAUCUACUUUUUCGUGGGGGAUAACGUAGGGAAACUUACGCUAAUACCGCAUACGACCUACGGGUGAAAGCAGGGGAUCUUCGGACCUUGCGCGACUGAAUGAGCCGAUGUCGGAUUAGCUAGUUGGCGGGGUAAAGGCCCACCAAGGCGACGAUCCGUAGCUGGUCUGAGAGGAUGAUCAGCCACACUGGAACUGAGACACGGUCCAGACUCCUACGGGAGGCAGCAGUGGGGAAUAUUGGACAAUGGGCGCAAGCCUGAUCCAGCAAUACCGCGUGAGUGAAGAAGGCCUUCGGGUUGUAAAGCCCUUUUGUUGGGAAAGAAAAGCAGCAGGUUAAUACCCCGCUGUUCUGACGGUACCCAAAGAAUAAGCACCGGCUAACUUCGUG
rnacentral:rRNA from 1 species